AUGUAUCUCUCUCAUAGCCCAGAGGAGAGGAGAGCAAGAUGGAAAGAAGAUACUGUGGUGAGAUGGCAGGAAAGAGGACACAAAAGGGAAGAGAUUGGUACUAGGCUUUGGCAUCGUGCUGGGCUUAUGGUGAAUACAAGAAGAGCUCCUGUGGUCAGCCAUCCCAGUCCAGAGGAGAGAAGGGCACAGGAGGAUAUGACCAGAGCUUGGAACCCUCCUGUCCUCAUCCUCUCAGUUUUGGACAGGAGUUCCACCUAGCACAAGGACAUCGAUACCAAGAUAAGUAAUGAAAUUAACACCAUGAUGGCUGUGAUGAGGGC
rnacentral:lncRNA from 1 species